rnacentral:lncRNA from 1 species
AAAAUAAAUAAAUAAGAAAUAAAUAAAAAAGAAUCAGCCCAAUCUAAAUUUAUACUAUCUUAAACUUCAUGUUACUGUUUUAGUUCUGGGAUCUCUGAAUGGUUACUUGCUCCUUUUGGCCAAGCAUAGCAAACAGUCUCUGAAGAAAGCACAUUUCAGAAAGAAACUGUUUUGCAACCUUUAAAACUAUUGUACUUUUACUAUUUAAUAUUCUAUUUCUAUGUAAUAUUUCUCUAAACAUGCAAUUAUGUUAAGCCUUUUUAGCAUUAUCUUUAAUAAACAUUUGAGAGGUUUUUUUGUUUUUGUAUUUGUUUUUGAGAUGGACCUGGGUGACAAAGCCAGACCCUGUCUCAAAAAUAAUAGUAAUAAUAGUUUUCAAAUAUAUUUAGUUCAAUCUGGAAGGUUGUUAAAUGAACUUUAAAGUAUGGUUCUUUCUUCAUCUCAUUCGUCCCUUUAUAAAUACUUUUUUUGUCUUUCCAGCUGCACGCUAUGAAGAGGGAGAGUCAGAAGCAGAAAGCAUCACUUCCUUUAUGGAUGUUUCAAAUCCUUUUUAUCAGCUUUAUGACACAGUUAGGAGUUGUCGGAAUAACCAAGGGCAGCUAAUAGCUGAACCUUUUUACCAUUUGCCUUC